ensembl:lncRNA
CCAGGUUAUUGAUUUCGUACAUUUUAUUACCAUUGCACCAUUUAUACAAGUACAUAGAACUUUGAAUGCACCAAUUUCUCUUCUUUUUUUUGUGUGUGUGGUCUUUGCUGUGGUUUUUGAGUGACAGUUGGCAUGGAGACAUGGAAUGACAACAUCAACUGCAGUCGCCCAUUGGUUGCGGACUGAAAACAAAAAGGAUAACAUUUUGUUUCGUUCCCCACUGGACCAAAAGACGAGACCACGACAUGCUUCUGCUGAGAGGGGCGGAGCCUCUGAGUCUGGUGGGAUCUGAUGCUCUACAUACACAUAGGUGUGUGUGACAUCACCAGAGCCUAAUACACCUGCAUGCACGUAGAUGUGUAUACACACUCGCACGGUAUAUCGGUCGGUAUACACACCUACAUAUAUACAGGUCUACUGGCACCUACAUACCCAUAGGUUCUUGUAACAUAAACCCAUAUAUAUAUUUAUACAUAUAUAGGUAAAUAUAAUCACCUACGUAUAUCUAGGUCUGUAUACACAUACUUAUACACAGGUAAAUAUACACGUGUAGAUAUGUCUACUGACACCUACAUAUAUAUACAGGUCUAUAUAAACUCCUACAUGUACACAGGUGUAGUACAGGUAUAUGCACACCUACAUGUAUGUAUCAUGUUAGCGGGGAGGGGGGAAAGGGGGGGGUUGGAGGGUCUCCUCCCAUGCAGGAUGGCCAUGGCAUCCCAUAAUGCUACCGUGACCAUGGUAACGUGUCUCCAAAAGGUUGGUAGUGAUCACAUAGGGGUCUCUUUAUGGUUCCGGCCCCGACAGCUUAACCUCCUUCUGGGAGUAUUACAGGAACAUUCAGGGAGUAUUAUGGGAAUAUUGCUGGAACAUCACAGGAAUAGGAUCCUCGUGUGUGAUCUGGUCAGAGGAGGUCAGACCCGCAGCCUUUUAUGUAAACUGUGUUUUGGGAAUCUGCUCGGAUUUCCAGACCGCACCAGUCCAUCCUGUCGACCAUAACUCACCCAGCGCCGACCAUAACUCACCUAGCACCUAGCCCCGAGGUGGUAAGCACCUCCCCUCCGCCGCUCAGUCGGGGUUAAACAAGCGCCCCCGUGGGUGGGUCCCAGUGCUGGUGUACGGUAGAUACGUCUGCUAGCGUAAACACAGGCGGCCAUUAAGAGCGCCUGGAGUCAGACAGACGGCGGGACGGUUUAUCAGGGGGGCGUGUGGCGAGGUGUCCGGCCGCCAUCGAGGGAUUUAUCACUGUCUUAACGACCGUAACGCUCCUGAUGACUUCAUGUGUGAGUGCGGGGGCAGCGCUCUGCGUUGGAGAGCGAGGAGUGCAGGCGGAGGAGGAGGAGACUGAAGAGAGGAGGUGAGGGCUUCAGGGAGGAGGAGGAGGUGGUUCUGUGUCAGAGUUUGAGUCAGGACGCGACCAUGCUCCUGGUCCCCCCCAGGGCCUCUCUCCGCCCCCCCCCUCCUUCCCGAGCCGGCGGUCCGGGCCCCCCUGGGGCACCCAGGGGUGGGGCCGACACAGCACCAGGACCGGGUGGGGUGGUCCAAUAGGAGGGGCGUUGGGGUCUGGGGGGGGGGUGGAUGGAGAUGGGAGACAUCGACUCGUAUCAAAGUUCAAAUACUACAGCAGAAAAAAUAGAAUAAAACAUCGUAAUAAGUAUAACAAUAAUAAUAGUAGUAAUAUCCGCUGAGCGUGGCCCACUCUUCCCAAGAUGGCGGCCGCCGGAUGCUCACCCUUCAUCAAAUCACAAUCAUCAUCAUCAUCAUCAUCAUCAUAACAGGUAUUAUUAUUAUCAUGGUUAUUCUGGUAAUAUGGGCGGGGCUAAUUCAAUGGUUUCUUCAUCAUUCUGUGGUUGUUUCACGGAGGGGGAGAGGGGCUGAGUGACAGCUGUCCGUCACUCUGGGACGGCGACGCUCUUCUCGGCGCGGGC